UUUACGGAGAGUUUGAUCCUGGCUCAGGACGAACGCUGGCGGCGUGCUUAACACAUGCAAGUCGAACGAUGAUGCCCAGCUUGCUGGGUGGAUUAGUGGCGAACGGGUGAGUAACACGUGAGUAACCUGCCCCUGACUCUGGGAUAAGCGUUGGAAACGACGUCUAAUACUGGAUAUGAUCACUGGCCGCAUGGUCUGGUGGUGGAAAGAUUUUUUGGUUGGGGAUGGACUCGCGGCCUAUCAGCUUGUUGGUGAGGUAAUGGCUCACCAAGGCGACGACGGGUAGCCGGCCUGAGAGGGUGACCGGCCACACUGGGACUGAGACACGGCCCAGACUCCUACGGGAGGCAGCAGUGGGGAAUAUUGCACAAUGGGCGAAAGCCUGAUGCAGCAACGCCGCGUGAGGGAUGACGGCCUUCGGGUUGUAAACCUCUUUUAGUAGGGAAGAAGCGAAAGUGACGGUACCUGCAGAAAAAGCACCGGCUAACUACGUGCCAGCAGCCGCGGUAAUACGUAGGGUGCAAGCGUUGUCCGGAAUUAUUGGGCGUAAAGAGCUCGUAGGCGGUUUGUCGCGUCUGCUGUGAAAUCCCGAGGCUCAACCUCGGGCUUGCAGUGGGUACGGGCAGACUAGAGUGCGGUAGGGGAGAUUGGAAUUCCUGGUGUAGCGGUGGAAUGCGCAGAUAUCAGGAGGAACACCGAUGGCGAAGGCAGAUCUCUGGGCCGUAACUGACGCUGAGGAGCGAAAGCAUGGGGAGCGAACAGGAUUAGAUACCCUGGUAGUCCAUGCCGUAAACGUUGGGCGCUAGAUGUAGGGACCUUUCCACGGUUUCUGUGUCGUAGCUAACGCAUUAAGCGCCCCGCCUGGGGAGUACGGCCGCAAGGCUAAAACUCAAAGGAAUUGACGGGGGCCCGCACAAGCGGCGGAGCAUGCGGAUUAAUUCGAUGCAACGCGAAGAACCUUACCAAGGCUUGACAUACACCGGAAACGGCCAGAGAUGGUCGCCCCCUUGUGGUCGGUGUACAGGUGGUGCAUGGUUGUCGUCAGCUCGUGUCGUGAGAUGUUGGGUUAAGUCCCGCAACGAGCGCAACCCUCGUUCUAUGUUGCCAGCGGGUUAUGCCGGGGACUCAUAGGAGACUGCCGGGGUCAACUCGGAGGAAGGUGGGGAUGACGUCAAAUCAUCAUGCCCCUUAUGUCUUGGGCUUCACGCAUGCUACAAUGGCCGGUACAAAGGGCUGCGAUACCGUAAGGUGGAGCGAAUCCCAAAAAGCCGGUCUCAGUUCGGAUUGAGGUCUGCAACUCGACCUCAUGAAGUCGGAGUCGCUAGUAAUCGCAGAUCAGCAACGCUGCGGUGAAUACGUUCCCGGGCCUUGUACACCCGCCCGUCAAGUCAUGAAAGUCGGUAACACCCGAAGCCGGUGGCCUAACCCUUGUGGAAGGAGCCGUCGAAGGUGGGAUCGGUGAUUAGGACUAAGUCGUAACAAGGUAGCCGUACCGGAAGGUGCGGCUGGAUCACCUCCUUUCUAAGGA
rnacentral:rRNA from 1 species